AGAGUUUGAUCCUGGCUCAGGAUGAACGCUAGCGGCAGGCUUAAUACAUGCAAGUCGAGGGGCAGCACAGGUAGCAAUACCGGGUGGCGACCGGCAAACGGGUGCGGAACACGUACGCAAUCUUCCUUUAAGCGGGGAAUAGCCCAGGGAAACUUGGAUUAAUACCCCAUAAUAUUUUCGAAUGGCAUCAUUUGAUUAUUAAAGCUCCGGCACUUAAAGAUGAGCGUGCGACUGAUUAGGUAGUUGGCGGGGUAACGGCCCACCAAGCCAACGAUCAGUAACUGGUGUGAGAGCACGACCAGUCACACGGGCACUGAGACACGGGCCCGACUCCUACGGGAGGCAGCAGUAAGGAAUAUUGGUCAAUGGACGCAAGUCUGAACCAGCCAUGCCGCGUGGAGGAUGAAGGCCCUCUGGGUUGUAAACUUCUUUUAUUGGGGAAGAAACCUGUUUUUUCUAAAGCAGUUGACGGUACCCAUUGAAUAAGCACCGGCUAACUCCGUGCCAGCAGCCGCGGUAAUACGGAGGGUGCAAGCGUUAUCCGGAUUCACUGGGUUUAAAGGGUGCGUAGGUGGGUAGGUAAGUCAGUGGUGAAAUCUCUAAGCUUAACUUAGAAACUGCCGUUGAUACUAUUUAUCUUGAAUAUAGUGGAGGUGAGCGGAAUAUGUCAUGUAGCGGUGAAAUGCUUAGAUAUGACAUAGAACACCCAUUGCGAAGGCAGCUCGCUACACUAUUAUUGACACUGAGGCACGAAAGCGUGGGGAUCAAACAGGAUUAGAUACCCUAGUAGUCC
rnacentral:rRNA from 1 species